ensembl:lncRNA novel transcript
CAGUGGGCUCUGCCCAGUUUGAAAUUUCAGGCCGCUUUCUUUAUACUGUGAGGGGAAAACCGUCUACUCAAGCCUCAGUAAUGGUGGAUGCCCUUCUCUGCACCAAGCUCGAGCAUCCCAGGAUGACUUCCGACUGCUGUGCUGGCAGCGAGAAUUUCAAGCCAGUGGAUCUUAGCUUGCUGGGCUCCAUGGAGAUGGGAUCCACUGAGCUAGACCACUUGGCUCCCUGGCAUCAGCCCCAUUUCCAGACCAGGUCUCACUCUGUCACCCAGGCUGGAGUGCAGUGGCGCAGUCAUGGCUCACUGCAGACUUGACCUCCCAGGCUCAAGUAAUCCUCCCAACUCAACCUCCCAAGUAGCUGGGACAACAGUGAGGACCAGAUGCUGGUUGAAGAGCUCCCCAGAGUCUUGUUGGGAUAACUGCAGUCUCUGCUUUCUGUAGAGGAUGUGACAAGGGUGAACACCAGUGUGGAGCCAGGAGAAGCCGUUCACCUGUGAAUGAUAACAGGGCCAGCACCAACUCCUACUGACUGAGCAUUUCUGUGUCAGACCAAGGGGUCUGUGCUUUACACACUCACUUCAUACCUCAAGAUGACUGUGUGAGCUUUAUUGAGGCAUAAUGAACAAAUAAAAAUUAUAUCUGCUUAAGGUA